AGCUUUGCGCAGUGGCAGUAUCGUGGCCAAUGAGGUUUAUCUGAGGCGCGAUUAUUGCUAAUUGAAAAGUGUUAAUGUUGUUAAAAUGUCCAUACUACCCAAAGCCAUACUACCCAUUCAAGGUAAUCACUAUCAGAAUUCAAAUGACAUUUUUCACAGAAAUAGAAAAAUCAGUCCUAAAAUUU
rnacentral:snRNA from 1 species